UUUGGCUUUCCAAGGCCCCUGUCAUUACAUGUCUGUGUCUAACAGUAAUUCCCCUUUCAUUUCAUUUGAAUUUUAUGAUCUUUGUCGCUUACCAUCACAGCACUAGAUUUUGUUUGCAGCUCACUCCAACCAGAUAUUCAAUUUAUUCUUCUUUCUGUAUAUAUUUGUUUGCUGGAGGCGUUCAUGGUGUUCUUGCUAAUUAAUCUUCAGACAUGAUAUGAUUUUGAGUAAAGAAACUGCAACUUGCAUUAUUAUCAACCUUGAAUUGAAUCUAGCUCUUUAUCUUGAUUUUACUGUUGGAUUUCUUCUCAUGGACAGCUUAUCUUUUCAGAACUGCAAGUCUCUGUUGCUUGUGAUCGUAUGAAAUGAUGUUUUCUGGGAUUCUUCUUCCUUCACCGAAGAUGCCAGAAGGAAUUUUGAGCUCCUGGUUACUACCUCAAGCAAGCAUCACAACAUGAAAUUAUCAAGACAUGGCGUGGGAGAGGCACUUGCAGAAUGAACUUGCCCUAAAAGUUUACUCUUUUUCCCAGGAAACAAACAUAAAAUCUCAGAACAUGGGAACUGAUCUCCAUUGUUAUAUAAGACAGAUGAAGCCGGCCCCGGCUUUUCCCCACAUCUUGAGAAAACUCAAUCUUGAAAACUAGAAUUAAAGCCUAGAUUUUGUUUUUAUUUAGUUUGGUUAAGAGUUAACUUUCAUUAUUUUACUUUUUUUUUUAAUAUAAAAUUAUCUCAAUG
rnacentral:lncRNA from 1 species